UACGUAGGGUGCAAGCGUUGUCCGGAAUUAUUGGGCGUAAAGAGCUCGUAGGCGGUCUGUCGCGUCGGCUGUGAAAACCCGGAGCUCAACUCCGGGCCUGCAGUCGAUACGGGCAGACUGGAGUUCGGCAGGGGAGACUGGAAUCCUGGUGUAGCGGUGAAAUGCGCAGAUAUCAGGAGGAACACCGGUGGCGAAGGCGGGUCUCUGGGCCGAGUACUGACGCUGAGACACGAAAGCGUGGGUAGCAAACAGG
rnacentral:rRNA from 1 species